UAUCUCUGUAGAGUCUGCAUAUCAAUAAGCGGAGGAAAAGAAACUAACUAGGAUUCCCUCAGUAACGGCGAGUGAAGCGGGAAGAGCUCAAAUUUGAAAUCUUCAAGGUUCUACCUUGACGAAUUGUAGUUUAAAGAAGUGUUUUCUGUUGGAGUUUUGGUAAAAGUUCUUUGGAAUGGGACAUCAUAGAGGGUGAGAAUCCCGUAUUUGACCAUUAUUUCCAGCUUUGUGAUACACUUUCAAAGAGUCGGAUUGUUUGGGAAUGCAGUCCAAAAUGGGUGGUAAAUUUCAUCUAAAGCUAAAUAUUGGCGAGAGACCGAUAGCGAACAAGUACCGUGAGGGAAAGAUGAAAAGAACUUUGAAAAGAGAGUUAAACAGUACGUGAAAUUGUCAAAAGGGAAGCGUUUGACACCAGUGUUGUUUUCUCGAAAAUCAAUUAAAAAAAGUUGGAUUUUGUAUUGUUAAGACCUUAUCAGCUUACUGUACUCUUUUCUUGCUUUUUUUAAUGCACUUUUCGUUUAACAAGUCAACAUCAAUUUCUUUUGUUGUAAAAGAGUCAUUGGAAGGUGGCUUUCACUUCGGUGAAAGUGUUAUAGCCUUUGGCUUCUGCAAUCGGAGAGAUUGAGGUCUGCAGCGUAGAUCCUUCGGGGUUAAAUAGCAUUUGUGCUAAGUUAUAGCCUUUCAUAGACAACUUGUUGACUAUGAUCAGUCAUGUAGCUUACUCGCUUAUGCUAUUUUACCUACGCUUAGGAUGUUGACGAUCAGCUGAGCGCG
rnacentral:rRNA from 1 species